GUCCAAGUAAUUUAAUCAAAAUACUGGCCUUGUAAGCCAGCAAUGAAGGCAAUCCCCUUCCUAGGACA
rnacentral:tRNA from 1 species